AGCCUUGGCCCCUCGCAGCCAACAAACAGCAUGAGUGGUCCAGCUUUCCCAAAGCUCCGCAGCUCAUUAGAGCCAUCAGUUAACCCCCUGCCCCUGCCCGUUGCCUACUUAUUCGUGUUUGAAACGGAACAACAUAUUGACUUCAGAAGAAAACAUGCUGGAGGCCCAAAUAUACAAACAUUUGACUGCAGGCAGAGGCCCAGCAUUCAGGGAAGUAUUCAUACUUCAAAGCAUUGCUUCUUAAGCUUUGAUGCACCUGACAGAACUGAAAUGCUCACACUCACACUCUGGGCUAUGACUCUCCAUGAAGUCUGCUUCUAGGGAAGAUUUCGGUGCUGCAUUUCCUGGGAAGCCAUUGCUUGCUCUACUUCUUCAUUUUGAUGUAAAGACCGUAAUACCCAGGCCAUAAAAAUGUAUAACAUAGCUUAUCUUUAAAAAAAAUGAUUGAAGUGUAGUUGAUUUACAGUGUGUGUUCAUUUAUUCUGUACAGCAAAGUGACUCAGUAGUACAUGCAUAUAAAACUUAAGCCUAACUUUGAGAAGUGGAAAGUAUAUCAUGGAAGUAGGGAUGAUAUUUAUUUAUUUAUCAG
ensembl:lncRNA